ACGCGUGGGAACGUGCCCUUUGCUACGGAAUAGUCCUGGGAAACUGGGGGUAAUACCGUAUACGCCCUUUUGGGGAAAGAUUUAUCGGCGAAGGAUCGGCCCGCGUUGGAUUAGGUAGUUGGUGGGGUAAUGGCCUACCAAGCCGACGAUCCAUAGCUGGUUUGAGAGGAUGAUCAGCCACACUGGGACUGAGACACGGCCCAGACUCCUACGGGAGGCAGCAGUGGGGAAUCUUAGACAAUGGGGGCAACCCUGAUCUAGCCAUGCCGCGUGAGUGAUGAAGGCCUUAGGGUUGUAAAGCUCUUUCAGCUGGGAAGAUAAUGACGGUACCAGCAGAAGAAGCCCCGGCUAACUCCGUGCCAGCAGCCGCGGUAAUACGGAGGGGGCUAGCGUUGUUCGGAAUUACUGGGCGUAAAGCGCACGUAGGCGGACCAGAAAGUUGGGGG
rnacentral:rRNA from 1 species